rnacentral:rRNA from 1 species
UACAGAGGUCUCAAGCGUUGUUCGGAUUCAUUGGGCGUAAGGGUGCGUAGGCGGCGCGGUAAGUCGGGUGUGAAAUCUCGGAGCUUAACUCCGAAACUGCAUUCGAUACUGCGGUGCUUGAGGACUGGAGAGGAGACUGGAAUUCAUGGUGUAGCAGUGAAAUGCGUAGAGAUCAUGAGGAAGACCAGUGGCGAAGGCGGGUCUCUGGACAGUUCCUGACACUGAGGCACGAAGGCCAAGGGGAGCAAACGGG